rnacentral:tRNA from 1 species
GAGUCGUGUUUCAGUGGGCUAUUUAGUCGAUUCGUAAUCGACAGGUCGUCGGUUCAAUCCCGACCGCCGGCUCA